AUGAACGCUGGCGGCGUGCCUAAUACAUGCAAGUCGAGCGAACGGACGAGAAGCUUGCUUCUCUGAUGUUAGCGGCGGACGGGUGAGUAACACGUGGAUAACCUACCUAUAAGACUGGGAUAACUUCGGGAAACCGGAGCUAAUACCGGAUAAUAUUUUGAACCGCAUGGUUCAAAAGUGAAAGACGGUCUUGCUGUCACUUAUAGAUGGAUCCGCGCUGCAUUAGCUAGUUGGUAAGGUAACGGCUUACCAAGGCAACGAUGCAUAGCCGACCUGAGAGGGUGAUCGGCCACACUGGAACUGAGACACGGUCCAGACUCCUACGGGAGGCAGCAGUAGGGAAUCUUCCGCAAUGGGCGAUAGCCUGACGGAGCAACGCCGCGUGAGUGAUGAAGGUCUUCGGAUCGUAAAACUCUGUUAUUAGGGAAGAACAUAUGUGUAAGUAACUGUGCACAUCUUGACGGUACCUAAUCAGAAAGCCACGGCUAACUACGUG
rnacentral:rRNA from 1 species